GGGCUUAAAUGUAGAGUGCAUUUUUUAGAGAUAGGAAAUUCCCUUCGGGGCUUUCUGCAAGGUGCUGCAUGGUUGUCGUCAGCUCGUGCCGUGAGGUGUCGGGUUAAGUCCCAUAACGAGCGCAACCCUUAUCGUUAGUUGCCAGCUGGUAAAGCAGGGGACUCUAGCGAAACUGCCACCGUAAGGUGAGAGGAAGGUGGGGAUGACGUCAAAUCAGCAGGCCCUUAUGUCCAGGGCUACACACGUGUUACAAUGGCCGGCACAGAGGGCAGCUACCUGGUGACAGGAUGCUAAUCUCGAAAACCGGUCUCAGUUCGGAUCGAAGUCUGCAACUCGACUUCGUGAAGCUGGAUUCGCUAGUAAUCGCGCAUCAGCCAUGGCGCGGUGAAUACGUUCCCGGGCCUU
rnacentral:rRNA from 1 species